UUGCCCGAGAACUCUGUCAAUAAAUGUUUUGUUAUACCUUCCAUUUUAUCUAUUUAUUUUUUGAUUAACGUGUAAUUUGUACUGUAUUCCGUGAUGUAUCAUCAGGUUUAUCACUGUUUAACACCAGCGGACGAAAAUGAGAUUAAGCUCCGCCCAUUUUGUGACGUAAGCGUUCCAACAUCUCUCCGAGCGGUCCAACAUUUCACUCAGCGGUCCAACAUCGAUUUAUUUAUGCCCACCCAGCCAUAACAUUAAAAAUGUUCGACUCCUUUCGUAUAGAAUUGUAGAGGAACAAAUUUUUAAAGGUAUAACAACUGUUUAUAUCUUCGACAAAGUCAGUUCAUUGACAUGUUUAGUUAUCCCAAAACCAGUUUUUUAUAAUACUUUCAGUUUAUUUAGAAGGCCAGUAUGCAGUGAGGAGGUAUAGGACUAACGCUAUUUGGGAUUACAAAAAAAUCUACCAAAAAUUUUUGCACGAUUAAUUUUUAAUAUUUGGCUGCUUUGAUUCUUGUUAUUCUCAUUUUGACAUCAGUAACCGACAGCACAUGCGUAUAGACAACACAAGCACCGACGACGCAAGCUCCAACUGCAACGACAUUUAUACCAGUACCUUAAUUGAAACCUGGGGACAAUGACAUAUGCAUAUGGUAGAAUGUUGCUUUACAGUUUCUCCUCGUUACAAUUAUAUGCCUCCCUUGACAACUGAAGAAAUAAUUAAUUAUCUUGUAUGCUCAACCCUUCAACAGACAAUAUAAGAGUGCAUUACAGUAAUCGUAUGCAAGUAGAUCGAUAGAUAGUGGAGCACAUAGUGUCGUAUAUCGUAGAGGAGCUGUUUUCAAUUAGCAUCAGUUUGGCUACUGCAGUACACAUCUGUAGUGUCCGUUCAUUGUUACUGAGGUGAGAGGAUAUUUUAUCUACACUCAGGCCUGGCAACAUCGUAUCUACUUAUACGAAAUGAAGACUGUAACCAUCUGAAUUUUUAUCAUUUCUGGACUUCUUAGGGAAUCCAGCGCAGAAUGCGAGAGAGAAGAGGAAUGUGAAUUCGAGAAACUGCAAAGAAACAUUUUAAUAUUUGCUGGUGCAAUCCUAGGAUUUGCAAUUUUUGUAGGUCUCUCUACAUAUGCCGUCUACAGGCUUCGUAAAUAAGUACACAUCUGAGUGUGCAACUAGAAGUUGCUUAGACUGAGGUUACUCUUCUGUGAAAGAGCAGUCAAAGAAUUACAACUACAAUGUACCAAUUUAAUAUUUAUGUAAAGAAAUAAACUGUCUCAACACCA